rfam:Callithrix jacchus chromosome 5, whole genome shotgun sequence
GCCUAGCAUGGUGGCAAGUGUCUGUAGUCUCGGCUACUCAGGAGGCUGAGGUGGGAGGACUGUUUGAGCCCUGGAGUCCUGGUCUGCGUGCGCUAUGCUGACUGGGUGUUGGCACUAAGUUUGGCAUCAAUAUGUUGACCUCCCAGGAAUUCAGGACCACCAGGUUCCCUAAGAAGGAGUGAAUGGGCCCAGGUUGGAAAUGGAGCAGGUGGAAAUUCCUGUACUGAUCAGCAGUGGGCUCACACCUGCAAAGAACCCCUGAACUCAAGUCUGGGCAACAGUAAGACACCAUCUCUU